GUUCAGUUGGUAGAGCAUGGUGUUUGCAACGCCAGGGUUGUGGGUUCGAUUCCCAC
rfam:Salmo salar isolate Sally breed double haploid chromosome ssa11, whole genome shotgun sequence.